AGAUUGAACGCUGGCGGAAUGCUUUACACAUGCAAGUCGAACGGCAGCACGGGUGCUUGCACCUGGUGGCGAGUGGCGAACGGGUGAGUAAUACAUCGGAACGUGCCCAGUAGAGGGGGAUAACCGUCCGAAAGGAUGGCUAAUACCGCAUACGCCCUGAGGGGGAAAGCGGGGGACCGCAAGGCCUCGCGUUAUUGGAGCGGCCGAUGUCGGAUUAGCCCUAGUUGGUGGGGUAAAGGCCUACCAAGGCGACGAUCCGUAGCUGGUCUGAGAGGAUGAUCAGCCACACUGGGACUGAGACACGGCCCAGACUCCUACGGGAGGCAGCAGUGGGGAAUUUUGGACAAUGGGGGCAACCCUGAUCCAGCCAUUCCGCGUGAGUGAAGAAGGCCUUCGGGUUGUAAAGCUCUUUCGGCAGGAACGAAAAGGUGGUCACUAAUACUGGCUACUGAUGACGGUACCUGAAGAAGAAGCACCGGCUAACUACGUG
rnacentral:rRNA from 1 species